GGGAGGCUUAAAAGUUAUGGAACCAUAGCUGUAUCUCGCAGAACUCAGAGAAAGCCAGCCCAGGAAGUGGUGAGCUCUGUUCUGCAACUGGGCACAGUGAUGCCUCUUGCUUUCUUAGCACAAGCUGGAAGCUUUUUCUAGAGGGUUCAAGCUCAGGGUGACUUGCUGGUGAGGAAGCCAAGCCCAGGGCCCUGGAAGGGAGGGCCUGCUCAGGACUUACCAUGGAGGGCACCCGUGUCACAGACUCAUGGCAGUCUCAGCCCCUCCCUUAAAGAAGAGGCAGGUCUCACCAACACGUCUAAGGAAGGAGGGGGAAGGUCUUGCUGCAGUUUAACUUCAGCAGUUUAGAGGAAAAACAGGAGAGUCUUGAGCAUUCCUUGGGGGCAGGGCUUAUGGGGGGAGGUAGUGAGAAUGUUGUCAGGGCCUGGGAAUGACCUUGAGCCCCAUUCACGUGUCAGGCCACAGGGGGUCACCAGCAUUUCCCCUCCUUUAAGCCAUUCCUUGAGUCAUUCAAACAACAGACAUUCCCUGAGCUGUAGCGAGCCCUGAGUGCCAGGAAUUGGCUGAGGCCAGGAGCGGCUGUCUCUACUCUCCUGAAGUCUUGCAGCUGAUCUGUCCGACCACAAGAAUCACACAGGUUGAUUGUCUUGGAAAUGGGGCAGCAUUUUAUACAAUCCAGGUUAAACCUCUGGCUGGCAAAAAUAACCAGUUAAUUCAGUGGAUGAAAAAAACAAAUCCACAAUACCAACCUCUGGUUGAUCUGUCUGGGACAACAGCACGGGAACAUUUAAUGAGCACCUACACUGUGGACAUGCUGUUUUGAUGGUGUCACCGGGGACGAGUUAUUGGUCUCCGUCCUGUUUGCAAAGUGAGUUUUGCCUGGAGGCCUUAAUGCAGGAUGUCAGUGUGAUGGUGGCAACUGCACCUCCAAAGAUGAGUGGGACACAGUCAUGUGACCUCGGUUACUUGAAAGUGCCUCUGAAGCAACAUGCACGUCUUCUCCCGUGCGGCUCCUUUAACUCCAGUUAAGACGCGGAAGAGGCGGGGGUGCCAGACACCGCU
rnacentral:lncRNA from 1 species